UCCGUAGGUGAACCUGCGGAAGGAUCAUUACUGAGUGAGGGCCCCUCGGGGUCCAACCUCCCACCCGUGUUUAACGAACCUUUGUUGCUUCGGCGGGCCCGCCUCACGGCCGCCGGGGGGCUCCUGCCCCCGGGCCCGCGCCCGCCGAAGCCCCCCCUUGAACGCUGUCUGAAGUUUGCAGUCUGAGAAACUAGCUAAAUUAGUUAAAACUUUCAACAACGGAUCUCUUGGUUCCGGCAUCGAUGAAGAACGCAGCGAAAUGCGAUAACUAAUGUGAAUUGCAGAAUUCAGUGAAUCAUCGAGUCUUUGAACGCACAUUGCGCCCUCUGGUAUUCCGGAGGGCAUGCCUGUCCGAGCGUCAUUGCUGCCCUCAAGCACGGCUUGUGUGUUGGGCCCCCGUCCCCCCCUCUGCCGGGGGGACGGGCCCGAAAGGCAGCGGCGGCACCGCGUCCGGUCCUCGAGCGUAUGGGGCUUCGUCACCCGCUCUUGUAGGCCCGGCCGGCGCCAGCCGACCCCAACCCUAAAUUUUUUUCAGGUUGACCUCGGAUCAGGUAGGGAUACCCGCUGAACUUAAGCAUAUCA
rnacentral:misc_RNA from 1 species